rnacentral:rRNA from 1 species
AGGGAAUCUUCGGCAAUGGACGAAAGUCUGACCGAGCAACGCCGCGUGAGUGAAGAAGGUUUUCGGAUCGUAAAACUCUGUUGUUAGAGAAGAACAAGGAUGAGAGUAGAACGUUCAUCCCUUGACGGUAUCUAACCAGAAAGCCACGGCUAACUACGUGCCAGCAGCCGCGGUAAUACGUAGGUGGCAAGCGUUGUCCGGAUUUAUUGGGCGUAAAGCGAGCGCAGGCGGUUUCUUAAGUCUGAUGUGAAAGCCCCCGGCUCAACCGGGGAGGGUCAUUGGAAACUGGGAGACUUGAGUGCAGAAGAGGAGAGUGGAAUUCCAUGUGUAGCGGUGAAAUGCGUAGAUAUAUGGAGGAACACCAGUGGCGAAGGCGGCUCUCUGGUCUGUAACUGACGCUGAGGCUCGAAAGCGUGGGGAGCGAACA